UGCGGAAGGAUCAUUACCAAGAACCACACAGAAAAGGGAGGCAAAGGGGCCUACAGGGCUAGUAGCUUAUACGUUGUUGAACGUCCUGCCUGGACCCGGAGCCGCCCCCAUCUAAACCCUCUGCGUACCUGUCCCUUCUUGCUUCCCCCGGCAUCUCGUCGGGGGGAGGUAACAACCAAAACUCUCUGUGAAUCAAACAGCCGUCAGAAUUAUAAAACAAACAAAAGUUAAAACUUUCAACAACGGAUCUCUUGGUUCCCACAUCGAUGAAGAACGCAGCGAAAUGCGAUAAGUAAUGUGAAUUGCAGAAUUCAGUGAAUCAUCGAAUCUUUGAACGCACAUUGCGCCCCCUGGUAUUCCGGGGGGCAUGCCUGUUCGAGCGUCAUAAAAACCUCCUCCCCCUUCGGGUUUUGUUACUAUCGUUGGGGGGUUUUGGCCUAAUGGGAUAGCGAUUGGCAAUUCGUUUCCCAAUGUCCUAAAUAGACGUAGACCCGCCUCCAGAUGCGACAGCACCGAGGCCAUCAACCGUGGAGUUAUGGGAUAUAAUAGGCUUGCAGUAAAAUGCUCACCUCUCUCCACACGCCGAUGGCACGACAGUUGCAGUUGCGGGCGUAAAUUGGAGCCCUUUUCAGGACCCUUGUGGCCUAGCAUCCACCAUACAUAAUUUGACCUCGGAUCAGGUAGGGAUACCCGCUGAACUUAAGCAUAU
rnacentral:rRNA from 1 species